ACGGCUCAGUAACACGUAGCUAAUCUACCCUUGGGACAGAGACACCCCCGGGAAACUGGGGCUAAUCCUUGAUAGGUAUGGGGAGCUGGAAUGGUUCACGCCCAAAAGCAUAACGACCAUGUUCGUUAUGUGCCAGAGGAUGGGGCUGCGGCCGAUCAGGCCGUUGGCGAGGUAACGGCUCACCAAACCUUUGACCGGUACGGGCCAUGAGAGUGGUAGCCCGGAGAUGGACACUGAGAUAGGGGUCCAGGCCCUACGGGGCGCAGCAGGCGCGAAAACUCCACACUGUACGUAAGUACGAUGGGGUUACCUCGAGUGUAGUCUGUAAAAGAUCGCUUUUCCAUAGAGUAAUAUCCUGUGGGAAUAAGAGGGGGGCAAGACUGGUGUCAGCCGCCGCGGUAACACCAGCCCCUCGAGUGGUAGGGACUUUUAUUUGGCCUAAAGCGUUCGUAGCCGUCUGUAACCGUUGCCCGUUAAAUCCAGCGUCUCAAGCGUUGGACUGCGGGCGAUACCUUACAGAUUGAGGGUGGGAUAGGUAAGCGGUAUUUCUGGGGUAGGGGCGAAAUCCUUUGAUCCCAGGAGGACCACCAGUGGCGAAGGCUGCUUACUAGAACACGCCUGACGGUCAGGAACGAAAGCUGGGGUAGCGAACCGGAUUAGAUACCCGGGUAGUCCCAGCUGUAAACGAUGCGCGCUAGGUGUUGGGUCGGCCAUGCGCCGCCCCAGUGCCGCAGGGAAGCCGUUAAGCGCGCCGCCUGGGGAGUACGGCCGCAAGGCUGAAACUUAAAGGAAUUGGCGGGGGAGCAC
rnacentral:rRNA from 1 species